rnacentral:rRNA from 1 species
AAUGGGGGGAACCCUGAUCCAGCCAUGCCGCGUGUGUGAAGAAGGCCUUAUGGUUGUAAAGCACUUUAAGCGAGGAGGAGGCUACUGAGACUAAUACUCUUGGUAGUGGACGUUACUCGCAGAAUAAGCACCGGCUAACUCUGUGCCAGCAGCCGCGGUAAUACAGAGGGUGCGAGCGUUAAUCGGAUUUACUGGGCGUAAAGCGUGCGUAGGCGGCUUUUUAAGUCGGAUGUGAAAUCCCCGAGCUUAACUUGGGAAUUGCAUUCGAUACUGGGAAGCUAGAGUAUGGGAGAGGAUGGUAGAAUUCCAGGUGUAGCGGUGAAAUGCGUAGAGAUCUGGAGGAAUACCGAUGGCGAAAUACUGACGCUGAGGUACGAAAGCAUGGGGAGCAAACAGGAUU